rnacentral:tRNA from 1 species
CGCGGGGUGGAGCAGCCCGGUAGCUCGUCAGGCUCAUAACCUGAAGGUCACCGGUUCAAAUCCUGUCCCCGCAACCA